ensembl:lncRNA
GGGCUCUGUUUAAUAUUUAAAAUUUGUAUUAUAAAAAUAAAAGGCAGCUUUAUCAAACAGGGGAGCCUGAACAACAAACACGAUUCUAAUGCUUUUGAUAAGAUAGGUGUCGGUUCUGUUGAUAGGUGUCGGUUCUGUUGAUUGGUGUCGGUUCUGUUGCUAGGUGUCGGUUCUGUUGAUAGGUGUCGGUUCUGUUGAUAGGUGUCAGUUCUGUUGCUAGGUGUCGGUUCUGUUGAUAGGUGUCGGUUCUGUUGCUAGGUGUCGGUUCUGUUGAUAGGUGUCGGUUCUGACUCAGUUGAUAGGUGUCUGUUCUGUUGCUAGGUGUCGGUUCUGUUGAUAGGUGUCGGUUCUGUUGAUAGGUGUCGGUUCUGACUCAGUUGAUAGGUGUCUGUUCUGUUGCUAGGUGUCGGUUCUGUUGAUUGGUGUCGGUUCUGUUGAUAGGUGUCGGUUCUGAUGGGCAUAAAAGCUAAGACAUUUCAAGUUGUG